GAAGGUAGCUUGCUACUUUCGCUGUCGAGCGGCGGACGGGUGAGUAAUGCCUAGAUAUCUGCCUAGUCGUGGGGGAUAACAGUUGGAAACGACUGCUAAUACCGCAUACGCCCUACGGGGGAAAGGAGGGGACCUUCGGGCCUUUCGCGAUUAGAUGAGUCUAGGUGGGAUUAGCUAGUAGGUGAGGUAAUGGCUCACCUAGGCGACGAUCCCUAGCUGGUCUGAGAGGAUGAUCAGCCACACUGGAACUGAGACACGGUCCAGACUCCUACGGGAGGCAGCAGUGGGGAAUAUUGCACAAUGGGCGAAAGCCUGAUGCAGCCAUGCCGCGUGUGUGAAGAAGGCCUUCGGGUUGUAAAGCACUUUCAGCGAGGAGGAAAGGUAGGUAGUUAAUAACUGCUUACUGUGACGUUACUCGCAGAAGAAGCACCGGCUAACUUCGUGCCAGCAGCCGCGGUAAUACGAGGGGUGCAAGCGUUAAUCGGAAUUACUGGGCGUAAAGCGUACGCAGGCGGUUUGUUAAGCCAGAUGUGAAAGCCCUGGGCUCAACCUAGGAAUUGCAUUUGGAACUGACAGACUAGAGUCUUGUAGA
rnacentral:rRNA from 1 species